rnacentral:rRNA from 1 species
CCUACGGGAGGCAGCAGUGAGGAAUAUUGGUCAAUGGGCGCGAGCCUGAACCAGCCAAGUAGCGUGAAGGAUGACUGCCCUACGGGUUGUAAACUUCUUUUAUACGGGAAUAAAGUCCGGUACGUGUGUCUUUUUGUAUGUACUUUACGAAUAAGGAUCGGCUAACUCCGUGCCAGCAGCCGCGGUAAUACGGAGGAUCCGAGCGUUAUCCGGAUUUAUUGGGUUUAAAGGGUGCGUAGGUGGGUUGUUAAGUUAGUUGUGAAAUUUUGGGGCUCAACCGUGAAAUUGCAAUUAAUACUGGCAGACUUGAGUAUAGUUGAGGUAGGCGGAA